AGUUCACAUUGAGGCUACUAAAUAGUAUCAAUAAGAGGACGUUGUCAUGUGUUGACAGAUUAGGACAGGCUGCUGAGUCCAGAGGUAACAAGCUGCUGGUGAUGUCUUUCUGAAAUCUAGUGUUUAAACACAAGUUAAUCAAGGAAAGGUGAUAUAGCCUAUAUGAUUGGACUGAUUAUAAUGCCGAAUUAGAAAAAUAAUUCAUCAUUAGAGUCGUGCAUUCAAUGAAAAGACAUGCCAAAUAAAAAAUUGUCGUUAUUAAAUCAACUUUAAAUUUCCAAACUAGCACCGGGAGGUUUUUAUUUUGAAGGAGCGCCUGGCGAGUGUGUUCUCUUCCGGGGGAGCUCGCGACUGCCGCUGAACCAAAAAGAUGGUACUCGGCGCGUCCCCCGCGACGGAGUCGGAGGAAGACUUUAACAUGGUUAAAUCUAACGGAGUCGCGGUGUCUCUGCCGAAACACUCCUACUGGUUUGACUUUUGGCUCUUCGUGCUCUUCGACAUUGCGUUUUUCCUCGUCAUGUACUACAUCGUGCCGUAAAGAACGGAAAGGUUCGUCUCCUGGACUCUGGAGCCUGAAGAUACAGAGUGCUGGUCCCAACCUUUAUCCCGUUAUCUGACCUAACAUCUCCAGGUUCCAUGCCUUGGACCAAGAAACUGCAGGUUUUCUAUGUGGAGCAUCCUGCUUUGAUAUCAAAGAUUUGAAGCCACAGAACUCCUUCCCUCUUUUGCCAGCUGCUGUUCCUUCCUGGGUGGCAUAAUGUUGUUGCCGUGGGAAAGAGAUUUAUUUUAUUUUAUAUUUGUACGAUUGAAAAGUGGCAAUGCCCUCAUCAGGACUGGUAAAAUGUACCACUAAGAUCACUGAAAUAUGUUUUUGAUCACUUUAAAUAGAAUACAGACGAGGGAAGCUGUGCAAUGUUUUUCAUGAAGUUAACAGAAGUAAUGGUGACGUAAGAUAAUUGUAUCAUAUUUUAUAUCUUUUAGAUUUAUGUCUUCAAAACGUCUGAUCAACAACUAUGUAUUGGAAAUAAAAAGAGCAAUCUCAAGUCUGAAAAGUGUUUGUCACUAGAAGCCCUCAGAUGAUCCGGUGUCAGUUAAGGCCCCGGAGAAAAUCAAGAUUCAGUUUGACUUCUGUUGUUCCACUAAGAUUUUGACAUUUUGCACAUGGAAAAUCCUGCAAAUAAAGCGUUUGAACCCA